rnacentral:rRNA from 1 species
UACGUAGGUGGCAAGCGUUGUCCGGAAUUAUUGGGCGUAAAGCGCGCGCAGGUGGUUUCUUAAGUCUGAUGUGAAAGCCCACGGCUCAACCGUGGAGGGUCAUUGGAAACUGGGGAACUUGAGUGCAGGAGAGAAGAGUGGAAUUCCACGUGUAGCGGUGAAAUGCGUAGAGAUGUGGAGGAACAUCAGUGGCGAAGGCGACUCUUGGCCUGUAACUGACACUGAGGCGCGAAAGCGUGGGGAGCAAACAGG